CACUUCAUCUCGUGGCUUAUAUGGAAAACCCUGUGGGUAAACCUCACCUCACAGAGAGGUCCACAGUUUGGAUGCAGGGACAAGAUUCAAAAACUGUGGCGUCAGGAAAGAGUGAUCUCUGUAGGGCCAGUACAGAUACAGAUCAUUUCUCCCCAACUUUGUUUGGCUCUGCCAACUCUUCAGUAUUGUUCUGAGAAUCCAGAACAUACAUCACAGGCUCUUUACCAUUUAAGCCCACUAUCUCCAAUGUUCAAAUGACUCCAGAAGCCUUAAUAGUGAUAUUGCAAAAGCCAUAUUACAAGAAUGUUACUCCAUGAAAGUAUCUGUAGGUCUCUCUCCCUUUCUCACUCUCCCUAUGAGUGUGUGUGGACCUGUCUGCCUGUCAAUUGUCAAUAGUUCAUGCUGUGCCUAGAAUUUCAUAUCUUUCCUCAAUCACUGCUUCCCAAUUUAGGAAGUUUCACAUGGGGGCUGUAAACAACUGAGAAAAACAACACCUUUUAGAGUUGUCCUGUCCCUCAUGAGAUAGAAUACAUUAUUAUUCUAAAAUAUUCUAACUUGAGAGCACUUUGAUUAAAAAUGAAAGAAGACUGCAUUUAAUUCUUCCUCUGAAAAACAAAAACUUUGUUAGACAUUUUAAAGUGGACCUAAAUAUUUUAAGCCAAAAGGAAAAAUAUGAGAUCAGCCUCUAUUAUUGAGCAAAUUUUCCUACAGAGUAAAACGUAUACUACUUAACUAUGCAUUUUUUUAAUUUCAGACAUUCAUUUUUGUGGAAGUAUAAGCAGCCUUUAUAAAGAGUAUGCUUCUUAUUAGAGUUAUAGCCAGAUUAGUAAACAGAGAAGGAGCGAGUGCAAUAUGAGGUUAGAAAUAGGAGCUAAUCUUAAAUGCCGGCAGCAAAGGAGAAUCCAUGUUAUCAAAAUGCUCCUCUGCAAAAGCCAUACUAUAAUAUCAAGACAUAAAAGGACUCAAAGGGACAUAUUCCAGGCCAUUAGGGGAGGAAAGUGGUCAUUGUGGAAUCAAAAUGAUAUUAAAUGCAUUUGGGGGCAACUUGGCAAUAUCGUGCAUAAUUUUAAAUGCAUGUAUCCUUUGACACAAUUAACGUAUCUCAGAGUCUAUUCUAUAGAAAUUGUCAUGUGUACAAAGAUAUUUAUACAAAGAUGUUCAUUGUCAUAUUGUUUGUAAAAACAAAGAAGUGUUGUCAGUGGAGGAAAAUGAUGAGACAAGUCUCAAUUCAAGGUUGUGAAAUCUAUUUAGUUACUAAAGGGUGUUAAAUCAGACAAGGUAAGUGCUCUGUUCUUUAUAAGACUGCUGUUGCCAGCAUAUCUAGGACAAUAGAUUGUACAAUGGUUAUUGUACAAUAAACGUAGGCAUUCCUUUGUAUACAGGCCUGGUUCUGUGUCUUGGGUUUAAGCAGUCCACAACAGCUGUCGUCUGCUUCUAAUCCUGCAUUAAAGGUUGAUGUUUAAUGAACUGGAGGCAAAGGUCUUUGGUGGGAGUUACAGUCUACUCAGGACAUUGUGCCUUUUUAAGAUGAGAGAUGUGAAUCCAUGAGUCUAUACCUUCUAAUUUUGUGGCACAUGGAUUAGUCAAUAAUACCUGGUAUAGUACCCCUUCCACUGGGGUUGAAGGAAGUCCUUUAUUAGAUGUCCUUCCCAGUAGACAAAAUCUCUGAGUUGCAGAUCAUGACCAGGCACCUUAUCUUCAGGGAGCAUACUGUGAAAGGAAUUAUUUACCAAAUCUUAAUUUUUUUUUUUUUGAGACAGAGUCUCACUCUGUCACCCAGGCUGGAGUGCAGUGGCGUGAUCUCAGCUCACUGCAAUCUCCGCCUCCCAGGUUCAAGGGAUUCUUCUGCCUCACCCUCCCAAGUAGCUGGAACUAGAGGUGCGUGCCACUACACCCAGCUAAUUUUUGUAUUUUUAGUAGGGACAGUUUUCAGCAUAUUGGCCAGGCUGGUCUUGAACUCCUGACCUCAUGAUCCACCUGCCUCGGCCUCCCAAAGUGCUGGGAUUACAGGCAUGAGCCACUGUGCCUGGCCCAAAUCUUGAUUUUUUUUACGGUAAUAAAUGAGUCCCU
rnacentral:lncRNA from 1 species